rnacentral:rRNA from 1 species
UACGUAGGGUGCGAGCGUUAAUCGGAAUUACUGGGCGUAAAGCGUGCGCAGGCGGUUGUGUAAGACAGGUGUGAAAUCCCCGGGCUUAACCUGGGAACUGCGCUUGUGACUGCACAGCUAGAGUAUGGCAGAGGGGGGUGGAAUUCCGCGUGUAGCAGUGAAAUGCGUAGAGAUGCGGAGGAACACCGAUGGCGAAGGCAGCCCCCCUGGGCUAACACUGACGCUCAGGCACGAAAGCGUGGGGAGCAAACAGG